rnacentral:lncRNA from 1 species
CAAAGAUAAUGCAGUAGUGUCUAGUGGCACCGUAUCAACUUCUUUUACGGUUGAUUUAGACAACAUGAGAAAGACAGUCCAACAUCAACAUUUCUGAUGGUAUGAAAAACGCUGUGAUCUUAGCCUCUGAGGCUACGAGAAUGGAUCAGGUUAACUGAGCACAAGGUAAGUGAUAUCAACUUGUAACUGGUCCUUAUGUUAAAACAAAUGAUUGGGCUUUUUAUUAAUCAUAAUUGGCAUGGAUAUAGGUGAUUACUUUUAUCUGGUUGCAUAUAGAAGCUCCGUAAACAUGUUGGCCUCGUUUCGAUACUUGUAAAUGUCAAAUAGGUAUUGCUGAGGAGAUCUCCGUUCCCGGUGUUUGCACUAGUAUAAAGAUUUAAUGCCUCAUUAGUUCUCUGGAUUUUGCAGAUAGAGGGAACAUACUGAUGACUUACCAUUUAAAGCUCGGUUCAAUUGUAGGACAUAUUGAUCUGUUCUAUGUAUUGUUAUAUGCUGUAAUAUAUAGCAUUUGUCAUUUAAAUGAAUCAUAAACUGUUUUAAGGCCAAAAUCAUUUGUAGACGAGACGAGAGGUACCAAUGUCCUGCUCAUUGCCGAGUAGAAAAAUGAGAUCUCAAAAUUAUGGCUUAUUUUACAGGCAACAAGUUCGAGGAUCGUAGAGCAGUACAUUCAAGCUUUCAGUAACAUUGUCAAGGACAUGAAAGGGAUAUAUCUGGGGACAUAUCGAUGCUUAUUGAAUUUGUCCUUUAUGCUCAUUGAUAGGGUAACAACAAUGUUGCUUCCUAGUUCUACAACACGGUUGCUCAAGCUCUCACCAUGUACAAAAGCCCAGUUUUAGUGAUGUUUCUGCCAACGGUUCUCGUCUAAACGUCUCUCCACCGAGCUAUAAAACAGGCUCCUAGAAGAAAGAGUAGAACUGUAUUUCUCAAGCUCUCACCAUGUACAAAAGCCCAGUUUUAGUGAUGUUUCUGCCAACGUUCUCGUCUAAACGUCUCUCCACCGAGCUAUAAAACAGGCUCCUAGAAGAAAGAGUAGAACUGUAUUUCUGGGUCAUUGUAUCUACUUAGUACAAAGAUGAUUAUUUCGAACAUUUUGAAAGUAAAAGGUUAGGUUUUGGGUGAUGUUAGGAUUGAUAAAAGCAAUUUGAUUCCAUUUCUUUUGCUUAUGGUUCUAAA